rnacentral:rRNA from 1 species
GGCGAGUGAAGCGGCAACAGCUCAAAUUUGAAAGCUGGCUCCGGCCCGCAUUGUAAUUUGCAGAGGAUGCUUUUGGCGAGGUGCCUUCCGAGUUCCCUGGAACGGGACGCCAUAGAGGGUGAGAGCCCCGUAUGGAUGGACACCAAACCUGUGUAAAGCUCCUUCAACGAGUCGAGUAGUUUGGGAAUGCUGCUCUAAAUGGGAGGUAAAUCUCUUCUAAAGCUAAAUACCGGCCAGAGACCGAUAGCGCACAAGUAGAGUGAUCGAAAGAUGAAAAGCACCUUGAAAAGGGGGUUAAACAGUACGUGAAAUUGUUGAAAGGGAAGCAUUUAUGACCAGACUUGCGCCGGGCAGCUCAUCAGGGGUUCUCCCCUGUGCACUCUGCCCGGCUCAGGCCAGCAUCGGUUCUCGUGGGAGGAUAAGAACAGUGGGAACGUGGCCCCCUCUCGGGGGGGUGUUAUAGCCCAUUGUACGAUACUCUCGUGGGGACCGAGGUUCGCGCUCCGCAAGGAUGCUGGCGUAAUGGUCAUCAAUGACCCGUCUUGAAACACGGACCAAGGAGUCGUCCAUUAGAGCGAGCGUUUGGGUGUAAAACCCGCACGCGUAAUGAAAGUGAACGCAGGUGAGAGCUUCGGCGCAUCAUCGACCGAUCCUGAUGUCUUCGGAUGGAUUUGAGUAAGAGUUUUAACGGACGGACCCGAAAGACAGUGAACUAUGCUUGUAUAGGGUGAAGCCAGAGGAAACUCUGGUGGAGGCUCGCAGCGGUUCUGACGUGCAAAUCGAUCGUCAAAUAUGAGCAUGGGGGCGAAAGACUAAUCGAACUGUCUAGUAGCUGGUUACCGCCGAAG